GACGAAGGUGACGACCGUUGCUCGGAAUCACUGGGCAUAAAGCGCGCGUAGGUGGCUUGGUAAGUCCGUGGUGAAAUCCUCCGGCUCAACCGGAGAACUGCCUCGGAUACUGGGCGUCUCGAGUGUGGUAGGGGUAUGCGGAACUAUCGGUGGAGCGGUGAAAUGCGUUGAUAUCGAUAGGAACUCCGGUGGCGAAGGCGGCAUACUGGACCACCACUGACGCUGAUGCGCGAAAGCCAGGGGAGCAAACGGG
rnacentral:rRNA from 1 species